UACGUAGGGUGCAGGCGUUAAUCGGAAUUACUGGGCGUAAAGCGCACGUAGGCGGCUUUGUAAGUUAGAGGUGAAAGCCUGGAGCUCAACUCCAGAACUGCCUUUAAGACUGCAUCGCUUGAAUCCAGGAGAGGUGAGUGGAAUUCCGAGUGUAGAGGUGAAAUUCGUAGAUAUUCGGAAGAACACCAGUGGCGAAGGCGGCUCACUGGACUGGUAUUGACGCUGAGGUGCGAAAAGCGUGGGGAGCAAACAGG
rnacentral:rRNA from 1 species